AUUUUCCUCCAACUGGAUUUUAAUUGAGUCUACGAAGAAACACUUUUCAUUCCACACUUAAGUUCCAAGAAUUUAAUUUGUCUCAAUUGCUAUAGACUAUCUUAAGUGAAAAGCAACUGAAAAAUUAAAAUUUUUAGCCACCUUCACAUUAAAAAUAACAAUCGCGGUGCUUACAGCAAAGUGUCAUCAAUCUCUUGAAACGUAUCUGGCAACAGCACAUUUAAUGUCAACAACUGAUAAUAAAUCAAGCAGUAAAUUUCCAAUAACGAAAGGUACUUCCCACAAUUCUAACAUCUAAAUUCAUGUGAAUUUUAUGAAAAGCCCUUCAAUUUAACGUCUGGUAGUAAAUCUCUUGAACUUUUGGUAUAAAUAAAUGGCAUUUCAUAGAGUAAAGCAUCAUUUGACAAAAUGAAAUUCUACUCUUUAGUUGCAUUUGUUUUGGCUCUUUUGGCCUUGGCUAUGGCCAAUCCCAAUCCUAAUCCUCGUCCACAACCCAGACCUUUACCUGGUGGUGGAGGAGGCGGUGGCGGCGGAGGUGGUGGCUGGUUCGGAGGUGGUGGUGGAGGCGGCGGUGGAGGUGGUGGCAAAUAAAUCACUCUUGCCAUUGUAGUCUAAAGGCAAGGAAAGCGAAAUGGAAAAUCUCUGAAAAACAAAUAAAGAAAAUAAUAAAAAUAAUUAAAAAAAAAAA